UGCACAAAUGAUUGAAGACUCGUAUGAAUGUCCAGAUGAUCAUUAUGGAUGCUGCGAAGAACAUAUGCUGGAAUUCGAAAUGGAUCAUUAAAAGGUAUGGAAAAUAUAAAAUAAGUAAAAUAUAAUAUGUAUGAUGUGUCUAAAAUCAUGUAAAAUAAAUAAUGAUGUAAGCGAUGAUGUAGUCGCUGAUGUAAUGAUUAUGUAAGCAAUGAUGUAAGCGAUGAUGUAAUCGCUGAGGUAAGCGCUUAUGUCAGCGCCUUAAAUCCUCCUAUAAAUAAGUGUGCACCCCUUGUAAGAAAUCACAACUUGAAAUAUCAUAAAAUUUCAUAAUAGCUUUCUCUCUCUAAAAUGUCUCUCUAACUUCUCUCUAAAUUUUCCAGACUUCCUAACUUCUUCAUAAACCUUGUUUUUUUCUAUUCUAAACACAGUCGCGAUUCUGUUUCUUUUCUUAAGGUUAGCAUAAGUGGUCCGUCAAUACGACGGUCGAACACGGCAGUCAAUAGUACUCGUCGGGGUUCACAGUUCCUAAUAGUAGGUUGAGUAACACGGAUGGCAAUGAGGCCCGAACCGCUCCCUUUACCUGGAAUAUGAACCCUUGCUUGUCGAUACGACUCGUCGUCUAGACUUAGUCAACACGACCCUCCGCUCGUGCUAGCUUUAAGAUUAUGGCACAAAAAAAAAAACUAAAAGAGUAUUUGAUUUUUUUUUGGUUAUUAAUUAAAAAUGGGAUUAUGAAUCUUUGAAUAAAGAGUAGUUGAAGCUUCUAUAAUAUGCAAAAGCUUCUUUUCUUUGAGGAGAUGCUUUAACACAUAUUUGACACUUUUUAUAAUAUUGUGCAAUAAAUCAUUCGCUAGUUCUAAACUAGCUUUUACUAUGAUAUUCAAAAUAUGUGCAAAACAUCUAACAAGCAUAAACUCUUCAUCACAUAAUAAACCACUGCCACUAAUCAUCUGAAGUUGACCUUGAGAAUGGUCUGCAUACUAUUAUGAUUUUCUGCAUUAUCUAGAGUAGUUGAAAAUACCUUCUUCUUUAGUCCCCAUUCUUUCAAACACUCCAAAAAUUUUUUAGAAAUUUCUUCAGUGUGUAGAGACUUCAAUUCACAAAAAAGCUAGAAUCUGACUGUUUAAUUUCCAGCCAUCAUGAAUGAAGUGUGCAAUCAAAAAAAUAUAACUCAUGACUGUGGCAUGAGCUGACCAUAAAUUUGCAGUGAAACAGACACGACCACGAUGCUUUGCAAGUACCUCUUUCAGCUUGAUCUUUUCAAUCUCGUACUGCCUAUACACAUCCGCUCCAGCAGUCUGUCUAAAAAUAGGUUGGCAUACUUGUCUCUUGCUCUGACUUUUUCAUAUUUAGCAUACCGAAAUGGAAAAUCAUGAUAAAUUAUGAUCUCGCUAGUCAUCUCACGGUCUAUCUUAUGAUCAUAUGCAUGCAUAUCUUCCUUUCUAGGCUUCAUUGAACACUUAUCCAAAUUGGCGAAUCAAACUCUUUGUUCCAUGUGUUUUAGUAUUAAUCACUAACUUUGUACCACAAUGGAUGCAUUUGCCUCUUUCUUUGCCAUCUUUUUUUGUCCCAACUAAUACAAAAUGGUUCCAAACUACUAAAGUUAAUCGUCUUUUCCUUGGAGCUUGAGUGUCACUUUGCUCUGGUUCUUCAAUUUCUAUUUCUCCCUCAUUCAUCUCAAUGUUUUCAUCUUGAGCAUCUUCCUCAUUCAUAUCAAUAUAUUGACUCGGAGCAUUGAGCAUUUCUAGUGUAUAUGGAGACUGUAAAUCCAUUCUGCAAAAUAAUAAACAAAUAAAAAUGUUAAGACUUCAGCUCCUUAGUACUGGUUAAGCAAGAUACUAAGAUAGGCAAGCUCAUAUAUCAAAUAAAAGUACUGGUACAAACGCCUAAAGUUUCAUGACUUAAGAUAAAUUAUAUAACACAUAUACUAUAUAUCAAAACGAAUGGAUAAGCGGAAAAAUAAAACCAUCGUGUCAUAUCACUACAAAAAAAGUCCACAUUCAUAGCACUGGGAAAUAGCUCAUUUUUCCCAACUGCUAUUAAAGAUGAGUAUGUAAUUUUGGUUACUAUGUUAUAGCGUUUAAUAAAUGCUAAGAUAAAAUUCGUAAGGGGAAAUCUAAAAUCGUUUAUACCGCCCAAAACUUGGCCAAAAUUAAAACAAAAGUUUUAAAUUUCACUUGUGUCCGCAAAAAUUUAGCCAAAUAUUACACUUUAUACCUCCCACACUUAGAAAAAAAUCACAAACCCCACUUGUGACCUAAUAUUUUCUUCACCUCUCCACACCCGACCUCCAACACUCAUCUUGUUCCAGCCCAGAGAAGAGAGAAAGAGAGAGAGAGAGAUUGCUUAGAAGAUAUUGGCGGACUUCAAAUCGGUUAUGGUACCGGAAUUUAGGAACUCCGUUUAGAUCUAGAGCCAUAAAAUCCAUAUUCGAAUGGGUCAACAGUGUUGCGAGAUUCUGACGCAACACCAACGAAAGCAAGAUUGGGUGAUAAAGCGAGAAACCCAGAUUGGAAUGGGUCUGGUGAAGAUGAGACAAUUAAGAACGGAGAAAAGAUUGUAAAGAGGUGGGUUUUGUGAUUUUGGUCGUUACUUUUAAUUUUCGUUUGAUUUUGAAUUGAAUUAGAUGUUGGCUUUUGUUUUUUUAUUUGUAUUCCUCUUUAUCAGAUCUGGUUUGGUAGGAUAUUGUGGAUCUAAGAGGAGUUUCGAUCUACAUGGAGUCUUUACUCAUGUAGUUCUUAGGAUUCAAGCAAACCAUACAUUUUCUAUGGACUGUCGAAAUUUCUCCUCUUUGGUAUAUGUGUGCAGUCUUUAAGAAAUGUUUGCAAUUGUUCAUGUUUACUCUAUUAAGAUGUUGUUACUUUUCUCUUUUUCUCAUUGCUGCUUCGAAUUGUUCUUUACUCUAUUAAGAUUGGUAAGUGUGAUCUUGAAGAAUUUAAUUUGGUUACUUUGGCCUAGGUUGUUACGAUUUAGAUAACAAUUACUCUACAGAUUUGUAAUCGUAAUGGUAAUGUUUCAUACUUGAUCCUUGAUUGGAGUAUGUUUUUUUAUGGCUUUUGAUGAUUGAUGCUGCAGGUUUUGAUUGAUGCUGCAGGUUUUGAUUUUCUGUUGCAGGUUUUAGUUUCCAAUUUUCAGGUUUUGGUUUCUAAAUUUGCAAGUUUUGGUUGUCUAAGUCGCAAGUUUUUGGGAUUCUCUGGUUAGCUACAUACAUAUAUCUUUUUUUUUUAAAGAUGUAAAAGACUUGUGUUAGAGUAGGAGGGCUUGACGAGGAAGGUAAAGGGUGUCUUUACUUACGACGCUGUUGGAUCAAAUGAGAGAGUUGUAUAUGGUGCUCAGGUUCUGGUUCCACACUCAUCAUGCCUUUCCUUGACAACCAGCUCAAGUCUCCAAGUCCUCUUCUGCUACCUAAACAGUGCAGGGACCAAAUGUUAAUACCAGUCCUAGUAAUUGUACUCUCAUGUGCCUAGAUUCAUUGAGAAAGCAAGAGCUAAAGUCAAAGGGUUUUGAAGAGUCAUUAGCUUUAGCGAGAUGUUAACGUUGACUAUGGGAAAGAAUGACAAGACCAAAGGAAGCAUAUGGUCCAGAGGCUAAGGCAAGUUUCUUUUCAUAUUUUCUUAAAGGCUGGUGAAUAAGCUGCAGUAGAAGCAAUUUUGGUCAUUGGAUUGUCUUUGAAGUCUGAUGCUAAAAAGACCAUCAUGAAUCUCAGGUUCCCUUCAAACCAGGUGAUUCUCAUUCAACAUAUCUAAGAGUUUAUGCUUUCAAGAAGCAGAGACUUCUGCUUAUGUCUGAUACUCCAAGGAAGCAGGUGGACAGGCUAAAUCCUUCCUCUUAACUUACAAGUACGAAGAAGUUUUGGUACCCAUUAUUAAAGAUUUUGUUUCUCUUUUGUUCUUUAUCAUUAAACUUUAUGAUUAGCAUUCUUUAUCGUGUAGGAGCAGUACUUGAUGUUUUAGUUUAAGAUUUAGUUUGGAUUAUAGUUUGUAAGACUUGUUAUGUUUU